GGAUAACUCUGACGCCUAUAGCUAGCUCACCCAACAUCAUAACAUUUACAUAUAAAUAUACACACAUCAACAAAUAAACAAACAAAUCAUUUUUCCACUUUAGUAUAGGUGAUAGAAAAAGACAUCAGACGCAAUAGAGAAAGUACCGCAAGGGAACGCUGAAAGAGAAAUGAAACAACUCAGUAAAGCACAACAAAGCAGAGAUCACUACUCGUACCUUUUGCAUCAUGUUUUAGCCAGAGCCCCUCAAGCAAAAAGCAUUGUAGUUUGACAACCCGAAACUAAGGGAGCUACUCCAAGCCAGCCUAAUAGAAAGGGCCAACCCGUCUCUGUGGCAAUAGAGUGGGAAGAGCUUUGAGUAGAGGUGACAGACCUACCGAACUUAGUUAUAGCUGGUUACCUGAAAAUUGGAUAGAAGUUCAGCCUCUUGAAUUCUCCCCUCACCUUGAUAUCUUUCUAAGUGAGACCCCAAGAAAUUAAGAGAGUUAAUCAAAGGGGGUCCAGCCCCUUUGAACAAAGAAACAACUUUUCUGGGUGGAUAAAGAUCAAAUUCAUAAAGGUAAGUCAUUGAGGUGGGCUUAAAAGCAGCCAUCCUAAUAAAAAGCGUUAAAGCUUGAACAUUGCACUCAAACCCCUAAUUCCGAUUUUCGUCUCCUACUCCCCCUUCUCCUAUCAGGUUUUCCCAUAACAUAUGGGAGUAAUAAUGCUAAUAUGAGUAAUAAGAGAGCAAGACUCUCUCCACACCCAAGUGUAACCCGGAACAGACAUCCUGCCGGCCAUUAACGGCCCCAUAACUGAGGGUAAUAGGCCAAAAAUAGAGAACUAGAAGACCACCCAAAUAUUCCCGUUAACCCUACACUGGUGCGCCUCCGUGGAAAGACUAAAAGAAAAAGAAGGAACUCGGCAAACAUAAUUGGCCUCGCCUGUUUACCAAAAACAUCGCCUCUUGACCCCCUAAAUAUAAGAGGUCCCGCCUGCCCUGUGACUAUACGUUUAACGGCCGCGGUAUCUUGACCGUGCGAAGGUAGCGCAAUCACUUA
rnacentral:rRNA from 1 species